rnacentral:lncRNA from 1 species
UCGUGUGAAAGAUAUAUGAUAGAUUAGUAUGGUCUAUCAUAGAUAAUGCAUAGAGUCGAUUACAACAUAACAUUAAAUUUGACAGAAAUACGGGGAUCCCUAAAAAUAGUAGUGUGAAUUACAAAAGAAAAGACAAGCCUAUCUAACAAUUGAUAGCCAUGCUACAUGUGGUUCUCUUAUGCCAGGGUCUCUUUCACACUGAACACUUAUUUCAUAUUUUGGACCUGGAAGUUUCACCGACGCC